GACAGAGGGUGCAAACGUUGUUCGGAAUUACUGGGCGUAAAGCGCGUGUAGGCGGCUCUCGCAAGUCGGGUGUGAAAGCCCUGGGCUCAACCUAGGAAGUGCACUCGAAACUGCGAAGCUUGAAGUCUGGAGAGGAACGCGGAAUUCUCGGUGUAGAGGUGAAAUUCGUAGAUAUCGAGAGGAACACCGGUGGCGAAGGCGGCGUUCUGGACAGCACUUGACGCUGAGACGCGAAAGCGUGGGGAGCAAACAGG
rnacentral:rRNA from 2 species